rnacentral:rRNA from 1 species
UACGGAGGGGGCUAGCGUUGUUCGGAAUUACUGGGCGUAAAGCGCACGUAGGCGGCUCUGUAAGUUAGAGGUGAAAGCCCGGGGCUCAACUCCGGAAUUGCCUUUAAGACUGCAUCGCUCGAAUUGUGGAGAGGUAAGUGGAAUUCCGAGUGUAGAGGUGAAAUUCGUAGAUAUUCGGAAGAACACCAGUGGCGAAGGCGACUUACUGGACACAUAUUGACGCUGAGGUGCGAAAGCGUGGGGAGCAAACAGG